ACCGAGCUGCUCGGGAGGUAUAUGUCGCUAUUUCUCCCGGAACAGGAAUUACAUAGGACCAUUCUAUUGGUGAUGACGUUGCUUCAUGAUAAGAGUCAUCAAAACAUACUGGUUAAGUCUCUGAAGGCCACGUGGGGACAUUAUAGUAGGACACAGUGUGGAAGAAUGUGUAAGGCUGGCACAGCACAAACCCAGGCUGAGUAGGAGUGUGAGCCAACUGCAUGGAAUGAGGAUCACUGACUGAGCUCACAUUGAUUGGUUGGAUGUGGGAAAGGCUUCUCUGUGAUUGGUCAUCUUCUCACCCAAACAUUUGGCCAGCAAGGAGUGUGGGCAGGACUUUGAUACUUAGCCCCAGAGUCGGACUGGGUGCCAGGGGCCCACCAGAAAACCUUAGACUGUGGGCCCAGUCUCCAAACAAUUUUUCCUUCUCUCUUCACUCACAUUAUUAAUUCUCUUAAUCACUUCCCCAUACAUAUUAUUAUUUAUACUUCCUUCUCUUUAUUUUAUUUGUUCUCAUAUAGAAAUGAGUACUGACCAUGGUAAAAGCAUACAAGUAAAUUGGCUGAGUGAGCAGGAGGGUCCACUGACACCUGGGCCCACCGGGAGUUUUCCUGGUAUCCUGGAGGGCCAGUCCGACACUGCUGAGCCCAAUUCUCUCACCGGUACUGAAUGUGGGGAAACAUCAUCUCUAACCAAAGACUGUCAGGGGCAAAGGAGAAGUUCUACAGAAGAAAAAGAUUUUGUCUGUGCAGAAUGUGGAAAAACCAGUCCCCAGAACGCUAACACAGGGGAGAGAAAUAUCACUUGUGCACAAUGUAAGGAAACCCAGUCUUUCAGGAGCAGCCGUUUAACUCACUUUGUAAUACACACAGGGGAGAAACCAUUCACUUGUACAGAAUGUGGCAAAGGCUUUACUAAAAAGAAUGGCCUUGUAUCUCAUAUGAAAAUACACACAGAGGAGAAACCAUUCACUUGUACAGAAUGUGGCAAAGGCUUUACUAAAAAGAAUGGCCUUGUAUCUCAUAUGAAAAUACACACAGAGGAGAAACCUUUCACUUGUACAGAAUGUGGAAAAGUCUUUGCUAAAAAUAAUCACCUUGUAGCUCAUAUGAAAAUACACACAGGGGAGAAACCAUUCACUUGUACAGAAUGUGGCAAAGGCUUUGCUAAAAAUAAUCACCUUGUAGCUCAUAUGAAAAUACACACAGGGGAGAAACCAUUCACUUGUACAGAAUGUGGGAAAAGCUUUGCUCAAAAGCAUCACCUUGUAUCUCAUAUGAAAAUACACACAGGGGAGAAACCAUUCAUGUGUAAAGAAUGUGGCAAAGGCUUUGCUCAUAAGAAUAACCUUGUAUGUCACCUAAAAAUACACACAGGGGAGAAACCAUACACUUGUACAGAAUGUGGCAAAGGCGUUACUCAAAAGAAUCACCUUAUAUCUCAUAUGAAAAUACACACAGGGGAGAAACCUUUCACUUGUACAGAAUGUGGCAAAGGUUUUCCUCAAAAGAAUCACCUUGUAUCUCAUAUGAAAAUACACACAGGGGAGAAACCAUUUACGUGUACAGAAUGUGGCAAAGGCUUUGCUCAAAAGAAUAACCUUGUACCUCAUAUGUACAUACAUACAGGGGAGAAACCAUUCACUUGUACAGAAUGUGGCAAAGGCUUUGCUCAAAAGAAUAACCUUGUAUCUCAUAUACAAAUACACACAGGGGAGAAAACAUUCAAUUGUACAGAAUGUGGCAAAGGCUUUACUCAAAAGCAUAGCCUUGUAUCUCAUUUAAAAAUACACACAGGGGAGAAACCUUUCACUUGUACAGAAUGUGGCAAAAGCUUUGCUCAAAGGUAUAACCUUGUAUCUCAUAUGAAAAUACACACAGGGGAGAAACCUUUCACUUGUACAGAAUGUGGCAAAGGCUUUGCUCAAAAGAAUGACCUUUUAUCUCAUGUGAAAAUACACACAGGGGAGAAACCCUUCACUUGUACAGAAUGUGGGAAAAGCUUUGCUGAAAAUAAUCACCUUGUAGCUCAUAUGAAAAUACACACAGGGGAGAAACCCUUCACUUGUACAGAAUGUGGGAAAAGCUUUGCUCAAAAGCAUCACCUUGUAUCUCAUAUGAAAAUACAUACAGGGAAGAAACCAUUCACUUGUACAGAAUGUGGCAAAGGCUUUACUCAAAAGAAUCCCCUUGUAUCUCAUAUGAAAAUACACAUUGGAGAGAAACCAUUCACUUGUACAGAAUGUGGCAAAGACUUUGCUCAAAAGAAUCACCUUGUAUCUCAUAUGAAAAUACAUACAGGGAAGAAACCAUUCACUUGUACAGAAUGUGGCAAAGGCUUUACUCAAAAGAAUCACUUUGUAGCUCAUAUGAAAAUACAUACAGGGGAGAAAUCAUUCACUUGUACAGAAUGUGGGAUAAGCUUUCCUGAAAAGCCCAUUCUGUGCAUUCAUCAAAAAUUUCACAGCAGGGUAAAUCAUUUUGAAGGUACAGAAUGUGGGAAAUGAUUCCCUAGCUUUAAGUUAAAUUUUAGCAUGUUAGAGAAUGCCUUAUUCUUAACAGCUUUGCAGUAGGUCUAAAUUAUUUCUUUUUUUCAUGGUGUCCAAUUAUUUGCCUUCCUCCCCUGCACCUUCCCAACUUUUAAAUGAGGGUCAGUAGGACCAGUAGCCAAAAAACCCAUUGCUCUGUGAGUUUACAGCUGUAUAAUUGUUACUUUUUUUUUAGUGUCUAUGUCAUACUAAAAGUUAUUUAAGCCCAUUUUAAGUAGAUUAUACUAUUUGCACAGAAGAGAAACCUCUAGAGUGUAAAGAAUGUGGAAAAACCAGACCAGAAUUAGGGCUAGAGAGGCACCAUACAGUGGGGGCACGAGGCACGUACCUCUGAUACCUGCAUUCCCCUUGUUUGGGCCUGAAAUGCCAGGUUAGAAAUAUGUAUAUAAGUAUUAUAUGUAAGUGUAAAAACAUAAAGUUUGAUAUAAGAAUUAA